ensembl:lncRNA
AGAGUUUCUCAGCUAAUGAUGCUGUGGGUAUCUCUGUGCCAUCUCUCCAGGAACCCUCCAAGCUCCAGUCCUGGUGCUGAGCACUUCCAGAGCUCAGGAAGGAGAUGUCGUCCUGGCUUAUUGUUUCCUUCAGAAGAUGAUACCUGCUACCCGCAUUGUCCUCUGCAAGGAUGGGGUGCAGGAGUACACCAUGAAAGCCCAAGAGGACAUGGUCAUCUACUCCAUGCCAAUGAAUGUGUCUGCAGGAAGCAGUGGGUCUUACACCUGUGGGUACCAGCAGAGGGAUGAGAACCAUUGGAUAAGGAGCUCUGCCCUCAGCACUCCCGUGGUCCUCCAUGUCACAGGCCAUGGGUCCAACUCCAUUAAAGGAUCAGCACAUACAGGUGAGAGGCUCCCCCUUGCUUCUGUCAACCCCAUCCCUUACUGUAUCCCCAUCCCUUCCCUCCGUCCUCAUACCAUCACUAACAUCCCCAUCGCACCCCAGUGUCUGCAUCACUCCUCUCUGACCCCAUCACAUCCCACUGUCCCCAUCCUAUUAAUUAGUCCCCAUCACUUUGUUCCCAGCUGCCUACACCCAGUUGGACUUGGCAGUCAUUGCAGUGGCAUCAGCAGCCGUCACCCUUCUCUUGUCCUCAGCCUCCUACUGGAUCAUCAAGAAAGGUUAGUACUGAUGGGAGCAGUAAGGGAUCCAUGAGGAUUCACAGCUCUGAUGUGGCACUUUCCUUCUUAUAGGUGCCUGCCGAGAGAGAUGCCAAAGGUGAGCAGCAACGGGCUGUUCAUUGGGCUGGUCUAUGUGUGGGCAUCUGGGCCCCUGGGCUGCUGUACAUUGUGCAGUGUCAGCUUGGUCCGUGGGUUCCCUGGUGUAGGGAUUGCAGUGGGAUAGAGGAUGGAGGCACUUAUCCAUGGCAAUAGUUCCAAUGGCCCCUGGAUGGUUGUGGAACCUCAAUGCCUUUUCUCUCUGCUCCCUCUGUCUGUCCCCAUAGUGCUGGUAGUGCUGAGGAACCUUCUCCUGACCACGCUUCUUACUGUAAGUGCCAUUCCCUGUGCACCCUUUAACCUCCAGGCACAGAGUACAAUGCAGACACGAUCCCAUAAGUCAGUAUUAAUCACAUGAAUUAAUUAACAGCUGAUCAAGUUAAUUUGUCAGGGUAUGGUCCCUACAGUAUCCAGCUAUCUUCUCUCUAAUCCUCCCCAUCAAACAUGAUCAGGUUGCCUUCAACUUGCCCUACAGUCCCCAUUUCUUUUGCUGGCCCUGCUGUGAACUAACAGCACUUUCACUUUCCAAACCAGCUCUGAGUGUUUCAUGUUAAACGUUCAGAGCAUUUCAUAUGGGGGUGAGGACAGUUCUUACCAACAGAGCAGCCUCCACCCAAUAUCACACAGCAGCAAAACCAGCCACCCCACAACACAGGGCGUUACCGUGGGGCCGCAAUGCAGAGCUCAGCAGCCAUUGCAGGGAGCUGUAACGGUGAAUAAUGUUGGCAUAGGAAGCCCAUGGGUGCAGUGGUGCUGGUGGCUGGGGAAGGUCUCUUCCCUGCUGAUGGCUGGAAACUCAUUCAGGAUCUCCCUGCAGAUGCCAACGUGGAUGAAAGGAGGAGAGUGAAGGUGAGUUGUGCCCUUGUAGUGGCCCUAAAGGUUGAAGGUGCUUUUAUUGCCUACAUAAGGCAUGGCAAUGGAGGGGAAAUGCAAGCCCAGAGUGCUGCUGGUGGUGCUCUGGCUGCAGUUCCCCUCCUGCCAUGAUCCCAUGGGGGAUGCUGCGUGGUCGUGCUGUGGGGCCAUUGUAAUUCCUUGUCUGUGUUUUGAAUCGACAGCUCUGAAGUUGGCACAUAAGGCAGAUGAUGAGAAAGUGAGAGGCUGUCCACCCCUUUCUAUGGCAAGAACAACAGGGGAAGCACAGCAGAGGUGACCCUGAGCAAUAAAAGCAUGAAACCCCACUGAACCCA